GUCAUUCAGACGCGGGCCCCCAAUGGGCUGCUUUCCCUUGGUCUUAGGGGCGCCAGUUUCCCCUGGGGUCUCUCCCUGGCCUGGCGCCUCACCUCCUUUCAGCACUGAGUCACACGCCUUUGUCUCCAAAGGAUACAUCCAAUUUCUCCUUCAUUUCUGGAAGAAGAUCUUGCUGGUUGUUGAUCCUAUUUCUCCUUGUGAGAAUGACAGUGAGGGUCCCAGCUCAUGCUGGAGCAGGAAGAGGAGGAUGUCCGGACGACCGAGCUUCCUGAGGCACGUGUAGGGCAAACCUGCGAACACACUGAUUAUACAUAUAAGUGUCAAGGCCCAGGAGAGCCGUCUGCAGGGCGGACCAUGCGGGACCCAGCUGUGACGUCAGAGGUUGGGCACCGCGUGGCGCUGGUCACCGUGAACAGGGGGUUACAGAACCAGCGGCUUCUGGGGGAUGGAGAAGGCGGAGCCUUGCCCCGGGGGCGGAUUCUGUCUCGUGCGGUUCAAGGAAUCCUGGACGCUCGGGCUGCAGCGGGGGGCUCAGCCGGGCUGCACGUAGCAGCGCCCUACCUAGACGGGCUGUAAAAUCACGCCCCCCUGCACGCCAGGUAACUAUUUUGUCAGGGAGUGAAUUCGGGACAUGGAUUUUUGGAAAGUCCCCCCACGUGCCUCCCACGCAGAGACAGGGCUGAGAACUUCUCAUCCGGAGUCUGUCUCUCCAGCCUGCCCAACACGCACUCAGACCCUUCACGUCCCCGCCGUACGCGUUUCCUUGCUGACACGGGCUGGGGCGACUCCCACGCUCUGGGCCUGAACCCGGGCGCAUGCGUGUUGUUUCCGUGCUUGGUGGCCUUCCCGUCUCGGUCCGCCGGGACACGACGUGUACAGCGGAUAUUGUCAGUGUAUUCACUGCCCCUGUGCUCUGCGGUGGCAUAAAUACCCACGAAGUGCUGUUAACCAGCAGCGUUUUCAGUGCAGACACACAGUUCCCAGCACAAGCACGCGUGAUUAAAUCUUGCCCUCGGCCACCCUCAAGAAUGGUCGCACUGUCUCUGUUUUGUUCCCCGACGGGACUUUCCAAUGCCCAGGGCUUGGCUGCUUUCCUUCAGGGCUUGUCAAUCUGUCCACUCAGCCUCUAGCUAAUAGUGAUCUGUUGGCCCCCAAGACCGUGAGGGAACAUUGAGAAAUGAAAUAAAGUCAUCAAGGACUGGCUCUACUUAA